CGCAAGGCUAAAACUCAAAGAAAUUGACGGGGGCCCGCACAAGCGGCGGAGCAUGCGGAUUAAUUCGAUGCAACGCGAAGAACCUUACCAAGACUUGACAUGUUAACGAUGGCCUCAGAGAUGGGGUGUCUCUUCGGAGCGUUUUCACAGGUGGUGCAUGGUCGUCGUCAGCUCGUGUCGUGAGAUGUUGGGUUAAGUCCCGCAACGAGCGCAACCCUUGUCUUGUGUUGCCAGCACGUUAUGGUGGGAACUCACAAGAGACCGCCGGGGUUAACUCGGAGGAAGGUGGGGAUGACGUCAGAUCAUCAUGCCCCUUACGUCUUGGGCUUCACGCAUGCUACAAUGGCCGGUACAGCGAGGUGCGAUAGGGUGACCUGGAGCGGAUCUCUGAAAACCGGUCUCAGUUCGGAUCGGAGCCUGCAACUCGGCUCCGUGAAGGUGGAGUCGCUAGUAAUCGCAGAUCAGCAACGCUGCGGUGAAUGCGUUCCCGGGCCUUGUACACACCGCCCGUCAAGUCAUGAAAGUGGGCAGCACCCGAAGCCGGUGGCCUAACAGUUUUUGCUGGGGGAGCCGUCUAAGGUGAGGUUCGCGAUUGGGACUAAGUCGUAACAAGGUAGCCGUACCGGAAGGUGCGGCUGGAUCACCUCCUUU
rnacentral:ncRNA from 1 species